GAUAAUGGCAGUCCGGGCGGGGCAGCCUUCGGGCUGGCCGGUUUCCUUGAAGGCCGGUUACGCCAACCCCGUUCGGGCUGCCACCAGU
rfam:Tatumella ptyseos ATCC 33301 GTPT.assembly.024, whole genome shotgun sequence.